rnacentral:rRNA from 1 species
AGAGUUUGAUCAUGGCUCAGAUUGAACGCUGGCGGCAGGCCUAGCACAUGCAAGUCGAACGGUAACAGGAAGCAGCUUGCUGCUUUGCUGACGAGUGGCGGACGGGUGAGUAAUGUAUGGGGAUCUGCCCGAUAGAGGGGGAUAACUACUGGAAACGGUAGCUAAUACCGCAUAAUCUCUAAGGAGCAAAGCAGGGGAACUUCGGUCCUUGCGCUAUCGGAUGAACCCAUAUGGGAUUAGCUAGUUGGCGAGGUAAUGGCUCACCAAGGCGACGAUCCCUAGCUGGUCUGAGAGGAUGAUCAGCCACACUGGGACUGAGACACGGCCCAGACUCCUACGGGAGGCAGCAGUGGGGAAUAUUGCACAAUGGGCGCAAGCCUGAUGCAGCCAUGCCGCGUGUAUGAAGAAGGCCUUAGGGUUGUAAAGUACUUUCAGCGGGGAGGAAGGUGUUGUGGUUAAUAACCACAGCAAUUGACGUUACCCGCAGAAGAAGCACCGGCUAACUCCGUGCCAGCAGCCGCGGUAAUUC